rnacentral:rRNA from 1 species
GCCAGCAGCCACAUCACUCUGCAACUCACAACUGGCAGCUGAAGCUCAGCAGGUGUAAGCCUGGUCAGUACCUGGGUGAGAGACCUCCUGGGAAAAACUAAGGUUGCUGCUGGAA